rnacentral:tRNA from 1 species
GGCCAGUUAGCUCAGUCAGUUGAGCAUAGUACUAAAAAUGCUAAGGUAGCGGAUUCGAUUCCGGUUCGGUCCC